AGCCUUUAGCAAAAAAUAUUAAAGGUUCCGCCUGCCCAGUGACCAUUAAACGGCCGCGGUAUCCUAACCGUGCAAAGGUAGCGUAAUCACUUGUCCCCUAAAUAGGGACUGGUAUGAAUGGCUAAAUGAGGACUUAACUGUCUCUUUUAACUAAUCAAUGAAAUUGAUUUACCCGUACAAAAGCUGGUAUACACACAUAAGACGAGAAGACCCUGUGGAGCUUAAAAUAACCCAUCAUCAUAUAUGAUGUAAUAUUUUCAGUUGGGGCGACUACGGAAACAAAUAAAACUUCCAAGCCAAGGACCUUACCUCCACCACAGACAAACAUGUCAUGCAUCUGACCCAGAACUUCUGAAUAACGAACCAAGUUACCCCAGGGAUAACAGCGCUAUCUUCUUCUAGAGCCCCCAUCGACAAGAAGGUUUACGACCUCGAUGUUGGAUCAGGACACCCAAAUGGUGCAACCGCUAUUAAAGGUUCGUUUGUUCAACGAUUAAAGUCCU
rnacentral:rRNA from 1 species